CCGGCCGCCCCCCGCGAAAGUCCGCAAAUUCGGGAUCCGCAAGGACCGGGCCGGGGGACGUCCCCGCGGCAGGGUGCACUUUCUCCGCGGUCGAGUGCUACGACCGGUUUCGCGGCGGUCAGAAGCCCGGCGGAAAGGUAGCGCCGCCCCUCGGGGUGUCGUGUUAUAGGCCGCCGCGGUGGACUCGCCGCGAGACCGAGGACGCUUGCCGCGCCGAGCGGUCCCGGGCCGUCUUGGGAGGUUCGACCUCGGCUGCACUGCUCCGCAGAGCACCGUAACCGCCGCCCUAGCACGGGUCCGGAGACCGCCGGCGCCUCGGGUCAGUAGCG
rnacentral:rRNA from 1 species